rfam:Rachicladosporium sp. CCFEE 5018 unplaced genomic scaffold Supercontig_10, whole genome shotgun sequence.
CCUUCCCCACAACCUCGACGCGAUGCAACAUUCUGCCGCAAUGUUGUCCGACCUGCAGUGUCCGUCGAGCCCACGGGAAGG